GCCAGGUGUGGUGGCACAUGCCUGUAAUUCCAGCAGUUCUGGAGGCUGAGGCAGGAGAAUCACAAGUUCAAAGCCAGCCUCAGCAAAAGCGAGGCACUAAGCAACUCAGUGAGACCCUGUCUCUA
rnacentral:sRNA from 1 species